UUUGAGAUGGGAGAAACAUCUUAAGCCUCAGAAGGACCAAAGCAGCGGAGUGACUCAGGGGCCCAGGAGGCAGAAGGGAACUGAGCAGACCAGACCCCGAGGGCAGCGAAGAUGGGCACGGAUUCCAGACUCUGCUUGGGCAUUUCUUCAGAAGCCAGCCUCUCCUCCGUGCUGGGAAAUGUCGGAGUCAGUGGGCAACCUGCACAGGGUGUGGCACACGGAGGACAGACAGUGACCCGCGAUUAUUCUUAGUUCAUGAUACAGAAAUGGGCAGCUUACCCUGAAUUUGACGACCCUUGUGGGAUCUGCAUUUUACACACUCCCCUGGUGAUUCUGAUGAAGAGCCAUGUAUGGGAC